rnacentral:tRNA from 1 species
GGGACCCGCGGCGUAGGGGAAAGCGUGGUUGCCUCUCACCCAGUCGACCUGGGUUCAAUCCCAGAAGGUCCCG